UGGCAUGUGUCCUUCUCAUAUGCCAGAGCUCUGCAGAACACCUGCUUGAAGACAUGGGGUGGCCGGCCGGAGAAUGUGAAGGCCGCACAGGAUGCUCUGAUUCAACGAGCCAAGUCGAACUCGCUCGCCCAGCUUGGAAAGUACACCGGUGAGGGCGAGUCCGACGAAGCCAAGGAGGGAAUGUUCGUCAAGGGCUACACAUACUGAGCUUUUCUAUAGAUCAUGAAGAUGAUGAAGAAGAAGAUGAUGGUUGAACUGGGAGACUAAUUGUGCUGUUUAUUAUGUGUUUAUGAUGAUGAUGAUGCUUUAUAGCGAUUGAAAAA
rnacentral:misc_RNA from 1 species